UACGGGGGGAGCAAGCGUUGUUCGGAUUUACUGGGCGUAAAGGGCGCGUAGGCGGCCACCGCAAGUCGACUGUGAAAUCUCCGGGCUUAACCCGGAAAGGUCAGCCGAUACUGCGGGGCUAGAGUGCAGAAGGGGCAACUGGAAUUCUUGGUGUAGCGGUGAAAUGCGUAGAUAUCAAGAGGAACACCUGCGGCGAAGGCGGGUUGCUGGGCCGACACUGACGCUGAGGUGCGAAAGCGUGGGGAGCAAACAGG
rnacentral:rRNA from 1 species